UUCGGCGAAUGGGCGCAAGCCUGACCGAGCGACGCCGCGUGUGCGAUGAAGGCCUUCGAGUUGUAAAGCACUGUCGAGGGGGAGGAAGCCGAAAGGUUGACCUAUCCCUGGAGGAAGCACGGGCUAAGUUCGUGCCAGCAGCCGCGGUAAGACGAACCGUGCGAACGUUGUUCGGAAUCACUGGGCUUAAAGGGCGCGUAGGCGGGUGAGCAAGUCUAGGGUGAAAUCCUCCGGCUUAACCGGAGAAGUGCCUUAGAUACUGCUUGUCUCGAGGGAGGUAGGGGUCAUCGGAACUUCUGGUGGAGCGGUGAAAUGCGUUGAUAUCAGAAGGAACGCCGGUGGCGAAAGCGGAUGACUGGACCUCUUCUGACGCUGAGGCGCGAAAGCUAGGGGAGCGAACGGGAUUAGAUACCCCGGUAGUCCUAGCCCUAAACGUUGGGUACUAGAUUGUAGACUUGCAUGGGUUUACAGUCGAAGCAAAAGUUCUAAGUACCCCGCCUGGGGAGUAUGGUCGCAAGGCUG
rnacentral:rRNA from 1 species